AACGCCUUUGUCUUUUGGCUUCGAGCCAGUGAGGUCACACCGGGGCGGCGGCGGCAGCGGCGAUGUCGGAGCAGGGAGGGAAUUCCAAAGUUUGAGGACAUGCAGAGCGAACUUGCUCGGGGCAAAAUCCGCCAUCCUGACUAAGACUGCCGAGCGAGGGAGAUCCACGAAUAAUAAUAAUAGUAAUAAUAGCAAAAAUAAUAAUCUUUACUUAGGAAGGCAGCGCAUGCUACACAGUGAGAAAGGAAAGAGAAAGAAAAAGAAAAAGAAAGAAAGAAGAGCCCGGAGUGAAAAGGAAGUAAAUAUGCAUAACAUGAAUGAGAUGUUAAGUGACAUCCCGGCUGUUGUUUAACUUCCUUCUGUUCUUCAUCGCAUCGCUCCGCUCCGUGGUGACGAGAAGACGCCGCCGCUAAGCACUAAACCUCCGGGGGGCUCGGCGGACUUUAAAGAGGCGCCCCUCAAACUCUGAAGCGGAACUCGGCGGGAUGGAUAAAUAAGAAAGGCAGGCUUCGAGCCCGAGAUGAAGUCACUUCUUCUGGUUUGGACUCCUCGUCCUGUGGCUGAUCUUUUUUUUGGAAUUGUUUGAGUGUUUGUUCUGUGCAGUCGUUUAUAAAACUAAAAAAAAAAAAGGAAAUCUGCAAAAGUCAAAACUUAAAAAUAUCUGCACGCAUAAACAGUUUUUAGACAUCAAGUUCUUAUAUAGAUGACGUCUAUCAUGAAAUAAAGGAAAGUAAUCGAAAAGCAGACCUGUAACCGAAGGACCUCACAGAAGAUAAAGAGAACUGGAACUGAAAUGUGACAAAAUGCUCAUUGAGUUCGUGUGUGCGUUCAUAUGGGCAGCAGGAUGCAUCAAACACACAAAUACACAUUUACUCGAUAGAGAGGGAGUUCAGUAUACUGUGUACUGUAGAUGUGUCUACACUGUAGUGUACUCAGUAGCGCAAUGUGUUUGUAUGUACGAAAAAAAAUGAGAGUUACACGCUGAACAGGAAAGAAGGUCAAAGGCACAACGUAUCGCCUUCGUCAGGCGUGCUGUAUCUGUACUAUAUACAUUUAUUUAUAAUAUAUCAAAUAACAAAUGA